rnacentral:misc_RNA from 1 species
AACGCACAUUGCGCCCGCCAGUAUUCUGGCGGGCAUGCCUGUUCGAGCGUCAUUUCAACCCUCAAGCCCCCCGGGCUUGGUGUUGGGGAUCGGCACAAGGCCCCUCGCGGCCCGCCGUCCCCCAAAUGCAGUGGCGGUCACGUCGCAGCCUUCUAUGCGUAGUAGCAACACCUCGCACUGGAGCGCGACGCGGCCACGCCGUAAAACCCCCGACUUUUUUCUGGUUGACCUCGAAUCAGGUAGGACUACCCGCUGAACUUAA